GCCCCGGUAGCUUAGCCUGGCCAAAGCGCUUGCUUGGUAACCCCAAGCACCUGCUGCGGGCCAAACAGCAAGAGAUCGCGGGUCCAAAUCCCGCCCGGGGCU
rfam:Candidatus Bathyarchaeota archaeon RBG_13_60_20 RBG_13_scaffold_4904, whole genome shotgun sequence.